AAAAAGUGGAAAGAGGAAAAAAAAUUGUACAUCCCACCUAAAUACCAUAAAAUCGUACUCUAAAAAAUUGUACUUAAAAUUAUUAUUUUGGCUGUGAGAAAAAAUAAGAAAGCUACAAUAGGGGUUGUAGCUUUUUUGUUGGCUUUAUACAUCUUCUAAUGCCCUACCAAUUAUACCCAAAACAUUUUUU
rnacentral:sRNA from 1 species